CUCCAACGCGUCGCCGCCUCCUGCAACGCCCCACCCUGCCUCACCGCGCGCCGCUGGCCGCCGCCGCCCACCCCGCUGGCGCGCCUACCCCUACCCCGAGUGCCCCCACACCCGCAGCCUUCCACUGCCGGCGACCAGUGGCCUGCCACCGCCGACGACGAGGAACUGCCGGAUCUGGACGAAUCCGGUGGGGAAUGGCGUGUAGGCAGCGAAUCUGGAAGGAAGGCUGCCGGGGCUUGGAGCACGACGGCUGGCCGGCGCGCCAUGGCAUUGGGGGGAGGGGGCGUCCCAUGCUCCGGCCGUUUGUGUCCGCGCGAGGAGCUCACCCCCAAAGAACUCCUCGGGCGUCCUGCGGGCCCAGGCCAGAGGCGGCAGGCCCCAGCGCGGGUAGCCCGCCACGGGGGCAGACAGGAAGGUGUCGAUUCGGAUCACCGUGGUCCGACGACGCGCCUGGCGCCGGCGGGGGACGUGGGAGGGCAGCAGCUCACGGGCGAGGAGUCGAGGCCGGCGCGGGCGGCGGGAGGGGGGACUCGCCGUACCAGGGCUAUGACGUGCAGCGUCUGGCGAGGUGGGUGGACCACGCGCUACCCUUCUCCCUGCUCCUCCUCGACGUCUUCAUCCGCCAGCACCUGCAAGAGAGUUGCUGGUCAGAAGAUGAUGGCGAGUUCCUCAUUCCAAUUGAGUUUAUAUUGUGUAGGUUUCUUCGUAAUGAUUUGGAUUACCGCAGUCAUGUUCAAGUCCAAUGAUAUCUUGCGCAAGCAGACCGCUCUCAAGACUGCUCUCAAGGGCUUGCGCUUCUUAUCUGGUGUAUCAACAUUAUUGUCAUUGUUCUAGCAGGCUACAAGGUUGGGGGAGCGACCCUGCCGUUGUCAUGACGGCUGCUCCUUCUGGCCGGAUCGAGGCACGAAGACCUGUGGGAUCCCCUCCUUCGGUAGGACCUCCUCAUCUGAUUGCACUCUUGCACAAACAGAGAGUGGAGCGCCAGCUUCAGUUUCUCAUCUGAUCCCACUUCUGGACUCCAUGAAUGAAGAGGACUGCAUGUGAUGAGUUAAGGCACAAGAAGAUCUACGACCAUUUUAGCUCCAGCAGUUAGUACACAACCAAUCAACAGUGCAUUUUCACGACCCAGGCUUCUGAAUUCUGACUGACAGGCUCGCAGGCACAGCCACAUAUAAUCUCACGCAUUCAAAAUGCUAGCUACAUGAAAUACGCCCAGAUUUACGAGUAGAAAUCCAAGAUUCCUCCUCUAUGUUCAAUUUUCCUAAUAGGAAGAACCAUACCAACAACCCUUGAACUAGAUUGGUUGAAGCAGCAUACAUACAUAUUCAUGUUUUACAUUUUAAAUUUGAAGACCAAGGCAACUCCCGAUCGAUUUAAUUGGAGGCAUUGCAGUCCAAUUGUUCUAAGGAUUGGAACCAGACGUGUGACUCAAUACUGCUUGGAACAUGUGGAGGAUGUCGUGGGUUUGUCACGGCAGAUGUCCUCGUGAAAGGACUUAGUUGUGGAGC